rnacentral:rRNA from 1 species
GCUCAGCCUUAAACUUUAAUAGUUCUGUUAUUUACUAUUCGCCUGGGGACUACGAGCGCUAGCUUAAAACCCAAAGGACUUGGCGGUGCUUUAGAUCCCCCUAGAGGAGCCUGUUCUAGAACCGAUAACCCCCGUUCAACCUCACCCCCUCUUGCUUUAGCCGCUUAUAUACCGCCGUCGUCAGCUUACCCUGUGAAGGAUAAAUAGUAAGCAAAAGUAGUACAACUCAAAACGCCAGGUCGAGGUGUAGCAUAUGAGGGGGGAAGAAAUGGGCUACAUUUUCUGUAUCAGAAAACACGGAUAAUGCAAUGAAACCACAUUAUGAAGGAGGAUUUAGUAGUAAGCAAAAAAUAGAGUGUUUUGCUGAAACCGGCCCUGAAGCGCGC